rnacentral:rRNA from 1 species
UACGUAGGGGGCAAGCGUUGUCCGGAAUCAUUGGGCGUAAAGCGCGCGUAGGUGGCCCCAGUAAGUCCGCUCUGAAAGUCAAAGGCUCAACCUUUGAAAGCGGGUGGAUACUGCUGGGCUAGAGUCCGGAAGAGGCGAGUGGAAUUCCUGGUGUAGCGGUGGAAUGCGUAGAUAUCAGGAGGAACACCAACGGCGAAGGCAGCUCGCUGGGACGGUACUGACGCUAAGGUGCGAAAGCGUGGGGAGCGAACGAGG